rnacentral:rRNA from 1 species
GUAGGGUCCAAGCGUUAAUCGGGAAUUACUGGGGCGUAAAGCGUGCGCAGGCGGUUGUGCAAGACCGAUGUGAAAUCCCCGAGCUUAACUUGGGAAUUGCAUUGGUGACUGCACGGCUAGAGUGUGUCAGAGGGGGGGUAGAAUUCCACGUGUAGCAGUGAAAUGCGUAGAGAUGUGGAGGAAUACCGAUGGCGAAGGCAGCCCCCUGGGAUAACACUGACGCUCAUGCACGAAAGCGUGGGGAGCAAACAGGAUUAGAUACCCUGGUAGUCCACGCCCUAAACGAUGUCAACUAGUUGUUGGGGAUUCAUUUCCUUAGUAACGUAGCUAACGCGUGAAGUUGACCGCCUGGGGAGUACGGUCGCAAGAUUA